rnacentral:rRNA from 1 species
UACGUAGGGUGCAGGCGUUAAUCGGAAUUACUGGGCGUAAAGCGUGCGCAGGCGGUUUCUUAAGUCAGAUGUGAAAGCCCCGGGCUUAACCUGGGAACUGCGUUUGAAACUGGGAGACUUGAGUGUGGCAGAGGGGGGUGGAAUUCCACGUGUAGCAGUGAAAUGCGUAGAUAUGUGGAGGAACACCGAUGGCGAAGGCAGCUCUCUGGGACGGUACUGACGCUGAGACGCGAAAGCGUGGGGAGCGAACAGG